rnacentral:rRNA from 1 species
AUGAAGACCGCAGCUAAAUGCGCGUCAGAAUGUGAACUGC